AAGGCAAGCUCACGAAUCUGGGAUCUUCUCUCUGUAUGAUUGGAAUUCUGAGUUUGCACACCAAAUAACGAAGCAUAGCGUUUGAUAAACGAGUCUCUAAAUGUUCUUGGAGAAGCACUUUUGAUUUUGCAUUCGCCUUAACACACUUUUAGCUUUCAAAACUUCCUCUGGGACUCAGACUACAAAGCUCUUCUAACAUCUACUAGUUUAUGGAGGAGUUUUCUUAGAAAAGCCUCUUCCUUGUCCUUGUCUACUUAGUGGUCUAUAUGGCCAAAUAUGAUGAUUUCAACAGGCCUAGAUGAGCAGAAGUUUUGUACUUUUAGUGGGGGAGCUGUAUUAGUCCACCUAGGGUCAUCUGGAUUGAUGACUUUCGUGGUGGUUGGGGGGAAUUUCAGCAAACUUAGAUAGUCUCUUUAAGUUGAGGAAUGUGCACGAUGCAUGAAGUUCAUGUUUUGCCUCUUGCUACAUCUGGAAUUUCUUUGGAGUCUGAUGGCUGUCUCAGUUUUUGAUUCUCCAAGGACUAUGUUUUUGGCAUCAGAGACUGUGAUAUCACCAGUGAGAUUUGUAUGAAGCUGAUCAAAAAUUGCUUGUUUAUCGCCGACCUUUGGUUUUUCCAAUUAAUAUCUAAAACAAAAAGACGGAAAACACCCCCAUAAUAAAAAUUAUUAACAAGUUUGCCCCCAUUGACCUAGACCUAUUUAAAUAUCUAUCUCCCUUGAGCCGAAAACACGUUCCCCCAUUCUCCCAAUUUCUCAAAGACGAUAAAUCCCUAAUUCCCCCAAUCGAUUCGCACGAGCCGAUUUCUACAUCUUCUUCGAUCCGUCUUUUGAUCUUUCAUCUGGUAAAAUUUCGAUUCGUCUUUUGCUAAUUGUUCAGCUAAUUUAUAUCCGUUGAUGAUUCGUCUGAAUGAAUUCGAUUCGUUUUCACUUUUCGAUUGAGAAUUUACGUCUGUUUUAGGUUUAGAUCAUAGGAAUCUGUAGAUCUAGCGCUUUGAGAUAUGAGUUUCCGUCGGAUCUUUGAUUUGUAUAUAUGAGGCUUGAAUUUAUAUCUCUAUGCGAUGAAUCUGUUGUUUGAUUUGUUAAUUUUGAUUGUAUUUUCCAGAUUUAAUUGAGCUGAAGAUGGCGGACUCAUUGAGUAUGUCUCUUGAUGAAAUGGUUAAGAGGAGCAAGGCCGCUAAAAAGUCUGCUGGUAAAGGAGUUUCCCGAGGUGGAGCUAAAGGUGCUGGAAGAGGAGCUGGUGGACCUGUUCGCAGAGGUCCUCUAGCUGUGAAAGCUAGGCCGUCAUCAUUCUCAAACAAGGCAAGCUCACGAAUCUGGGAUCUUCUCUCUGUAUGAUUGGAAUUCUGAGUUUGCACACCAAAUAACGAAGCAUAGCGUUUGAUAAACGAGUCUCUAAAUGUUCUUGGAGAAGCACUUUUGAUUUUGCAUUCGCCUUAACACACUUUUAGCUUUCAAAACUUCCUCUGGGACUCAGACUACAAAGCUCUUCUAACAUCUACUAGUUUAUGGAGGAGUUUUCUUAGAAAAGCCUCUUCCUUGUCCUUGUCUACUUAGUGGUCUAUAUGGCCAAAUAUGAUGAUUUCAACAGGCCUAGAUGAGCAGAAGUUUUGUACUUUUAGUGGGGGAGCUGUAUUAGUCCACCUAGGGUCAUCUGGAUUGAUGACUUUCGUGGUGGUUGGGGGGAAUUUCAGCAAACUUAGAUAGUCUCUUUAAGUUGAGGAAUGUGCACGAUGCAUGAAGUUCAUGUUUUGCCUCUUGCUACAUCUGGAAUUUCUUUGGAGUCUGAUGGCUGUCUCAGUUUUUGAUUCUCCAAGGACUAUGUUUUUGGCAUCAGAGACUGUGAUAUCACCAGUGAGAUUUGUAUGA
rnacentral:lncRNA from 1 species